UCCAGACUCCUACGGGAGGCAGCAGUGGGGAAUAUUGGGCAAUGGGCGAAAGCCUGACCCAGCAACGCCGCGUGAAGGAAGAAGGCUUUCGGGUUGUAAACUUCUUUUGACAGGGAAGAGCAGAAGACGGUACCUGUCGAAUAAGCCACGGCUAACUACGUGCCAGCAGCCGCGGUAAUACGGAGGAUGCGAGCGUUAUCCGGAUUUAUUGGGUUUAAAGGGUGCGUAGGCGGAUUUUUAAGUCAGCGGUAAAAUGUCCGGGCUCAACCCGGGCCGGCCGUUGAAACUGGGGAUCUUGAGUGGGCGAGAAGUAUGCGGAAUGCGUGGUGUAGCGGUGAAAUGCAUAGAUAUCACGCAGAACUCCGAUUGCGAAGGCAGCAUACCGGCGCCCGACUGACGCUGAGGCACGAAAGCGUGGGGAUCGAACAGGAUUAGAUACCCGAGUA
rnacentral:rRNA from 1 species